rnacentral:lncRNA from 1 species
UGAAGGGAUGAUGGGUGAGCUACCAAGGCUAACAUUUUCCCGAGGACAUUGAGUUAGGGAAGUGGCCUCUCCUUGAGGGAAGGAGCCAGAUGACUUCUCAGAGAACAACAACCAUAUUCAAAAUAUUCUCAAGUUUCUUUUGUUUCUUCUUGUCUGCAUCUGAUAUCCAGGACAUUAUUCCACAGGAAAAGGUUAACAGGAAAUCAAGAUCGGCCCGAAUGUAAACCUAAAAGAUUUGUAGAGAAACUCAUCACUGAGGUGAAAAACCAGAGUCAUGGAAGUAGGUAGGUCAUGGUUGACCAACGCCACCAUCUUCAUGAGGACAUCGGUAAUCAGAAUUAAAGUCAAACUCUGGAUUGUGACUAUUACCAAGACCAGGUUUC